AACACAUACAAGUCGAGCGGGCGUAGCAAUACGUCAGCGGCAGACGGGUGAGUAACGCGUGGGAACAUACCUUUUGGUUCGGAACAACACAGGGAAACUUGUGCUAAUACCGGAUAAGCCCUUACGGGGAAAGAUUUAUCGCCGAAAGAUUGGCCCGCGUCUGAUUAGCUAGUUGGUGAGGUAACGGCUCACCAAGGCGACGAUCAGUAGCUGGUCUGAGAGGAUGAUCAGCCACAUUGGGACUGAGACACGGCCCAAACUCCUACGGGAGGCAGCAGUGGGGAAUAUUGGACAAUGGGCGCAAGCCUGAUCCAGCCAUGCCGCGUGAGUGAAGAAGGCCUUCGGGUUGUAAAGCUCUUUUACCAGGGACGAUAAUGACGGUACCUGGAGAAUAAG
rnacentral:rRNA from 1 species